AGUCACUGACAUUAGAUACCCCUGUAGUCCAGGGUGUAAACGCUGCAGACUUGGUGUUGGAGGCCCUUUGGGGGCAUUCAGUGCCGGAGAGAAGUUGUUAAGUCUGCUACUUGGGGGAGUACGUCCGCAAGGAUGAAACUUAAGGAAUUGGCGGGGGAGCACCGCAACGGGAGGAGCGUGCGGUUUAAUUGGAUUCAACACCGUAAACUCACCAGGGAAGACUGUUACAUGAAGGCCGAGAUGAAGACUCUGCUAGAUUUUCAG
rnacentral:rRNA from 1 species